CAUGCAAGUCGUACGAGAGUUUUUAACUCAAGUGGCGGACGGGUGAGUAACACGUGAGAAUUUACCUUUAGGAGGGGGAUAACAAUUGGAAACGAUUGCUAAUACCCCAUAUGCUUAAGAGUGAAAUAGAUUUAUCUGCCUAAAGAAAAGCUCGCGGCUGAUUAGCUUGUUGGUAAGGUAAUGGCUUACCAAGGCGACGAUCAGUAUCUGGUUUGAGAGGACGAUCAGACACACUGGAACUGAGACACGGUCCAGACUCCUACGGGAGGCAGCAGUGGGGAAUUUUCCGCAAUGGGCGAAAGCCUGACGGAGCAAUACCGCGUGAGGGAAGACUGCCUAUGGGUUGUAAACCUCUUUUUUCAGGGAGGAAGAUAUGACGUGUACCUGAAGAAUAAGCAUCGGCUAACUCCGUGCCAGCAGCCGCGGUAAGACGGAGGAUGCAAGUGUUAUCCGGAAUCACUGGGCGUAAAGCGUCUGUAGGUGGUUUAAUAAGUCGGCUGUUAAAUCUUGAAGCUUAACUUCAAAACUGCAGUCGAAACUAUUAGACUAGAGUAUAGUAGGGGUAAAGGGAAUUUCCAGUGGAGCGGUGAAAUGCGUAGA
rnacentral:rRNA from 1 species